GAUGAAGAACGUAGCGAAAUGCGAUAAGUAGUGUGAAUUGCAGAAUUCAGUGAAUCAUCGAAUCUUUGAACGCACAUUGCGCCCCUUGGUAUUCCAAGGGGCAUGCCUGUUCGAGCGUCAUUUGUACCUUCAAGCUCUGCUUGGUGUUGGGUGUUUGUCUCGCCUCUGCGUGUAGACUCGCCUUAAAACAAUUGGCAGCCGGCGUAUUGAUUUCGGAGCGCAGUACAUCUCGCGCUUUGCACUCAUAACGACGACGUCCAAAAGUACAUUUUUACACUCUUGACCUCGGAUCAGGUAGGGAUACCCGCUGAACUUAAGCAUAUCAAUAAGCGGAGGA
rnacentral:misc_RNA from 1 species